rnacentral:rRNA from 1 species
GACGAACGCUGGCGGCGUGCUUAACACAUGCAAGUCGUACGGUAAGGCCCUUUCGGGGGUACACGAGUGGCGAACGGGUGAGUAACACGUGAGUAACCUGCCCACAACUUUGGGAUAACGCUAGGAAACUGGUGCUAAUACUGGAUAUGUGCUCCUUCUUCAUGGUGGGGGUUGGAAAGCUCCGGCGGUUGUUGAUGGACUGGCUGCCUAUCGGCUUGUUGGUGGGGUAGUGGCCUACCAAGGCGGCGACGGGUAGCCGGCCUGAGAGGGUGACCGGCCACAUUGAGACUGAGAUACGGCCCAGACUCCUACGGGAGGCAGAAGUGGGGAAUAUUGAACAAUGGGCGCAAGCCGGAUGCAGAAACGCCGCGUGCGGGAUGACGGCGUUAGGGUGGUAAAACGCGUUCAGCAGGGACGAAGCUUUUUGUGACGGUACCUGCAGAAGAAGCACCGGCUAACUACGUG